rnacentral:rRNA from 1 species
GACGAACGCUGGCGGCGUGCUUAGCACAUGCAAGUCGAACGGAAAGGCCCUGCUUUUGUGGGGUGCUCGAGUGGCGAACGGGUGAGUAACACGUGAGUAACCUGCCCUUGACUUUGGGAUAACUUCAGGAAACUGGGGCUAAUACCGGAUAGGAGCUCCUGCUGCAUGGUGGGGGUUGGAAAGUUUCGGCGGUUGGGGAUGGUCUCGCGGCUUUUCAGCUUGUUGGUGGGGUAGUGGCUUACCAAGGCUUUGACGGGUAGCCGGCCUGCGAGGGUGACCGGCCACAUUGGGACUGAGAUACGGCCCAGACUCCUACGGGAGGCAGCAGUGGGGAAUAUUGCACAGUGGGCGGAAGCCUGAUGCAGCAACGCCGCGUGCGGGAUGACGGCCUUCGGGUUGUAAACCGCUUUCGCCUGUGACGAAGCGUGAGUGACGGUAAUGGGUAAAGAAGCACCGGCUAACUACGUG